rnacentral:rRNA from 1 species
GACGAACCGUGCGAACGUUAUUCGGAAUCACUGGGCUUAAAGCGCGUGUAGGCGGGCCGCCACGUCGGCUGCUGAAAUCCCCCGGCUCAACCGGGGAAGUGGCACCGAUACGAGCGGCCUCGAGGGGGGUAGGGGGGUCUGGAACUUCCGGUGGAGCGGUGAAAUGCGUUGAGAUCGGAAGGAACGCCCGUGGCGAAAGCGAGGCCCUGGACCCUUACUGACGCUGAGACGCGAAAGCCAGGGGAGCGAACGGGG